AGGUAGGUGGUAAGAUGGCUGAGUAGGCAUUAGACUGUAAAUCUAAACACAGAGGUUGAAUCCUCUUUUUACCA
rnacentral:tRNA from 1 species